GACGAACGCUGGCGGCGUGCUUAACACAUGCAAGUCACGGGGGCUCGCAAGGGCAACCGGCGAACGGGUGCGUAACACGUGAGCAACUUACCGAUUUGUGGGGGAUAGCCGGCCCAACGGCCGGGUAAUACCGCAUACGCUCUUUGGGUGGAGUCACCUGAAGAGGAAACCUCCGGGGCAAAUCGAGGGGCUCGCGGCCUAUCAGCUAGUUGGUGCGGGUAACGGCCCACCAAGGCGAUGACGGGUAGCGGUCUGAGAGGAUGGCCAGCCACAUUGGGACUGAGAAACGGCCCAGACUCCUACGGGAGGCAGCAGUGGGGAAUCUUGCGCAAUGGCCGAAAGGCUGACGCG
rnacentral:rRNA from 1 species